rnacentral:sRNA from 1 species
UCCCCUUUGGAGAUCACUGGAAACAGCUUCUGGACCACAAAUGGGGUGAACUACUGUAUCGAGAAAGGAGAGAGUAAGACUUGAGAGAUAUCUUUUUAGCUCAGGGUGCAGUCUGUACUCUAAAAGAAGUGUGGAAGUGGAGCACUCUACAUAUCCUAAGUGCCAAAAAUAUUCCUCUUCAUGAAAUUCGCCAGAUCUGCAAAACACAGCGCCUUUUGAAGAGAAGAGCCAGGGAACUCCAUUAGCAGGCUUUGAUGGCAUUAAUAAUUCAGAGAGAUGCCCUCUAUCUUCUUUAAGAUAGACAGAAGGGUCCCUUUUAAUGUAUAACCAGGCAGAAAAGAGGAGAGGACACGGGUGGGAGAGAAGAGGAGGUUGCAAGCCAGCACCUGCCCCACACCAGGGGAUGGAAGCUAAUUGUGAAAAGCUGCCCCACUACAGCUGCUGCCUCUUGAAAAAUGCAAACUGUGUUUUGAGCAAACAUAUCAUCCACUUACGGAGUCUUGCUCUAUCGCCCACGCUGGAGUGCAGUGGCGCGACCUCGGCUCACUGCAAUCUCCGCCUCCUAGGUUCAAGCAAUUCUCUGCCUCAGCCUCACAAGUAGCUGGAAUUACAGGUGCCCGCCACCACGCCUUGCUAAUUUUUUUAUUUUUAGUAGAAACGGGGUUUUAGCAUCUUGGCCAGGCUUGUCUUGAACUCCUAACCUCGCGAUUCACCCGCCUUGGCCUCCCAAAGUGCUGGGAUUACAGGCAUGAGAAAAAAGUAAAUAAAUAAAA